AUGAGGCAGGUAGAUGGGGCGCCAACCUUUGGCACACCAUCUAGGGUUUUUCAUGCAAAAGAGGGGGUGUGCCCCCUCUCUCUCUCUCUUUCCAUGCCAAACCAAGAGGAGUGGAUGGGCCCCUCACUCUUCCUCAUUCUAUUCCAAGGGGUUGGCACCCUUUGGACCUUCCAAAAAGGGAGGAUGGCGCCAUCACAUGUUUCCAUCAAUUC
rnacentral:lncRNA from 1 species